rnacentral:rRNA from 1 species
CAAUAGCGUAUAUUAAAGUUGUUGCGGUAAAAAAGCUCGUAGUUGGAUUUCUGUUGAGAGCGACCGGUCCAUACCAUGUAUGCGUAUCUGGCUUGCUCUCGGCAUCCUCUCGAUAGACGUUACUGCGCUUGAUUGCGUGGUGCGGAUCUCGGGACUUUUACUUUGAGGAAAUUAGAGUGUUCACGGCAGGCUUUCGCCAGAAUACAUUAGCAUGGAAUAAUACUAUAGGAUCUUGGUUCUAUUUUGUUGGUUUCUAGAAUUGAGAUAAUGAUUAAUAGGGACGAUUGGGGGCAUUCGUAUCAACACGUCAGAGGUGGAAUUCUUGGAUUGUGUUGCGACGAACUACUGCGAAAGCAUUUGCCAAGGAUGUUUUCAUUGA